rnacentral:rRNA from 1 species
AAGUCGAGCGAGAAAGGGACUUCGGUCCUGAGUAAAGCGGCGGACGGGUGAGAAUAUCGUAGGUAACCUGCCUUUCACUGGGGGACAACGGUCCGAAAGGACCGCUAAUACCGCAUACGUCGUCCGGGACUUCGGUCCUGGCCGGGAAAGCUGGGGCAACCUGGCGGUGGAAGAGGGGCCUGCGUCGCAUCAGCUAGUUGGUGGGGUAAUGGCCUACCAAGGCUAAGACGCGUAGCUGGUCUGAGAGGAUGAUCAGCCACACUGGGACUGAGACACGGCCCAGACUCCUACGGGAGGCAGCAGUGGGGAAUAUUGGACAAUGGGCGCAAGCCUGAUCCAGCCACGCCGCGUGAGUGAUGAAGGCCUUCGGGUCGUAAAGCUCUGUGGGGAGAGACGAACCGCCGGUGGCUAAUACCCAUCGGCAUGACGGUACCUCCUUAGCAAGCACCGGCUAACUUCGUGCCAGCAGCCGCGGUAAUACGAAGGGUGCAAACGUUGCUCGGAAUCAUUGGGCGUAAAGCGCACGUAGGCGGCUUCGCAAGUCGGAUGUGAAAUCCCGUGGCUCAACCAUGGACGUGCAUUCGAAACUGCGAAGCAUGAGUAUGGAAGCUCGGUCGCGGAAUUCCCGGUGUAGAGGUGAAAUUCGUAGAUUUCGGGAGGAACACCAGUGGCGAAGGCGGCGACCUGGGCCAAUACUGACGCUGAGGUGCGAAAGCGUGGGGAGCUAACAGGAUUAGAUACCCUGGUAGUCCACGCCGUAAACGAUGAGCGCUAGGUGCUUUGGGUAUUGACCCCCGAGGUGCCAAACUAACGCGUUAGCGCU